CCUACGGGUGGCAGCAGUGAGGAAUAUUGGUCAAUGGGCGCUAGCCUGAACCAGCCAAGUAGCGUGAAGGAUGACUGCCCUAUGGGUUGUAAACUGCUUUUGUAUGGGAAUAAAAUGCAGCAUGUAUACUGCUCUGCAUGUACCUUAUGAAUAAGGGUCGGCUAAUUCCGUGCCAGCAGCCGCGGUAAUACGGAGGACCCGAGCGUUAUCCGGAUUUAUUGGUUUUAAAGGGAGCGUAGGCGGGUUGUUAAGUCAGUUGUGAAAGUUGGCGGCUCAACCGGAGAAUUGCAGGUGAUACUGGCAUCCUUGAGUACAGUAGAGGCAGGCGGAAUUCGUGGUGGAGCGGUGAAAUGCUUAGAUAUCACGAAGAACCCCGAUUGCGAAGGCAGCCUGCUGGACUGUAACUGACGCUGAGGCUCGAAGGUGCGGGUAUCAAACAGGAUUAGAUACCCUAGUAGUC
rnacentral:rRNA from 1 species